UACGGAGGGUGCAAGCGUUAUCCGGAUUUACUGGGCUUAAAGGGCGUGUAGGCGGGCCUUUAAGUCAGGGGUGAAAUCCCGGAGCUCAACUCCGGAACUGCCUUUGAUACUAUUGGUCUUGAAUAUUGUUGAGGUGGGCGGAACGGGUCAUGUAGCGGUGAAAUGCAUAGAUAUGACCCGGAACACCGAUUGCGAAGGCAGCCCGCUAAGCAAUGAUUGACGCUGAGGCACGAAAGCGUGGGGAUCAAACAGG
rnacentral:rRNA from 1 species